rnacentral:rRNA from 1 species
UACAGAGGUCUCAAGCGUUGUUCGGAUUCAUUGGGCGUAAAGGGUGCGUAGGUGGCGCCGUAAGUCGGGUGUGAAAUUUCGGAGCUUAACUCCGAAACUGCAUUCGAUACUGCGGUGCUUGAGGACUGGAGAGGAGACUGGAGUUCAUGGUGUAGCAGUGAAAUGCGUAGAGAUCAUGAGGAACACCGGUGGCGAAGGCGGGUCUCUGGGCCGAAAUUGACGCUGAGGAGCGAAAGCGUGGGGAGCAAACAGG